GGGGGGGCCCCAUGGGUCAUCAUGGUGCCACCAAUGGGGGGAGGACCCAAUUAACGUCAGUGUUAAUUGGAUGGGGGGAUAACGAACCCACACUGGGGAGCACAGCUAUGAUGGCCGCCAUGGUUGAGGACUGGAGGUCCUCCAAUGGGGGUCCCAGCCUUGAUUUGGGGGGGGGUCCCAUCACUGAGUGUGGAUAUGGGGGGGCCCAAUGGGCGGUCAUGGUGCCACCAAUGGGGGGAGGACCCAAUUAACGUCAGUGUUAAUUGGAUGGGGGAUAACGACCCACAUUGAGGAGCACAGCUAUGGUGGCCACCAUGGUUGGGAUGGGAGGUGCUCCAAUGGGGGUCCCAGCAUUGAGUUGGGGGGACAUGGGGGGGACAUGGGGGGGGGUCGUGGUGAUGAGAAUGGGGGGGGGACCCAAUUAACAUCAGUGUUAAUUGGAUGGGGGGAUAACGAACCCACAUUGAGGAGCGCAGCUAUGAUGGCUGCCAUGGUUGAGGACUGGAGGUCCUCCAAUGGGGGUCCCAGCAUUGAUUUGGGGGGGGGUCCCAUCACUGAGUGUGGAUAUGGGGGGGCCCAAUGGGUCAUCAUGGUGCCACCAAUAGUGAAAGGACCUCAUUAACACCACCGCUAAUUGUAUGCCGGGAUAACGAACCGCGUUCGGAGAGCAGAGCUACGGUGGCCACCAUGGAUGGGGAGUGGAGGUCCUCCAAUGGGGGUCCCAGCCUUGAUUUGGGGGGGGGUCCCAGCACUGAGUGUGGAUAUGGGGGGGCCCAAUGUGUCAUCAUGGUGCCACCAAUGGUGGGAGGGACUCAUUAACACCACCCCUAAUUGGAUGGGGGGAUAACGAACCGCGGUCGGAGCGCAGCGCUAUGGUGGCCACCAUGGAUGGGGACUGGAGAUCCUCCAAUGGGGGUCCCAGUCUUG
ensembl:lncRNA